rnacentral:lncRNA from 1 species
UACGUUAUCUAGUUAAACCUAGUUAUAACCAAACCCAAUAGCGAAUCUAUUGAACUUUUUUUUCCCAUAGCGCGGCGUGUGAGGGUUCUAUUGGGACAUAAAUGUAUUUUUGGCUAUUUAUCUGGACACAAGUGCUUGUCUCCUAUUCGGCUAGCUGAAAUUUGGUCGCUGCUAUUGUUAAUAAUGCUGAUUUAUUACGAGAGAAAAAUAUUGUUCCUUUGUUAAAAAGUACUACUUAGGGCGGUAGUUAUUUUGAGACGAAGAGAAUACUUAAUCACCCCUUUAUGUUUUUUCAAAUAGAUUUAUCAUGAAGACAUAUUAAGUAAUUAAAUCUACUACCCCUAUUUCAAAAUAAAUGUAUUUUUGGCUAUUUAUCUAGACACAAAGGGUACUGCUCAAGGCUGUAGAACUAACCUUUGGGAUGAAAGUCACCUCACUUUUCAAGAAGUCAACUAAUUUUAGUUUGACCAAAUAUAUGAAAAUAGUACUAAUAUUUAUGAUACCAAAUAUGUAUCAUUAGAUUAACUAAUCAGUUAAUAUGUCUUCAUGAAAAAUCUAUUUGAAAACACUAGUAUAUUGCCCGUGCUAACGCUACGGUAACAUUUAGAAAAAAAUUAUAAAACUAAAAUAAAUCAUAAAACUAAAAACAAACUUACCCCACUACCAAAAAAGUCUAUAUGAAAAUUACGGUACUUCAUUUGGGAACAUAUAUUUGGUUUUAACAAAUGCUACGUAGAAAAGUUAAGAAAAACAGCUGAUCUACAAAUACCCAUCAUUUAUCUUGUAAUCUUGGUAACAAGUCCAUAAAAAUAAGAUACUUGAUUGUAGUUAGUGUAGGCGUAUGCCUGCCUUACUGGACAAACAAGCAAGAAAAAAAAUUAUAGAGAUCGAUUAAAGGAAUAAUAAAAUAAAAAAUGCUUAACAAAAUCAGGCACCUAUCUUCAGUCUAUCACAUAAUGCCAAGAAGACAAACAAACACUAAAUUAUACAUAAGGCUAAAGAAAAAUUAAAAUACUCCUGUUCAGAAGUUUCAGAUGGUCUAGAUCAUUGUACAAAACUGCUCCAGAUAGGAGAACAUACAUAUAGAAUUUAUUUAUUCUCCCAUCACGAAUUAAGGGUGCAUAUAAAGUUGACAUUCUAGUGUGUAAUAUUAUACUCUCUCCAUUUUUGGCUGGUGCUCACGCUGGUAGGACUAUUUGCCAAGUUCAUCAAAGUUCCAAGAAAUUUUCAGUCUUGAUUACUGAACCAGGAGCAAAACCACAAAUUAAGGCCUGAAUAUUGAAGACUAAAUUAGCACCAAUUUUUGUAAUUCAGGAACAUAUUUACCAUGUCAAAACUUAGCAAUCACCAGAUAGAAUAUUUUACUAUAAGCAAUUUGUAUAAUUGUAUUGCACAAAUACUCAAACUGAGACCAUUCCAAGUCUUGAUAAAUUGAUCUGACAAUCUGGUAAAUUAGACUGAAAAAAAGUUAAUGAGCCCCAUCUAUUCUCACAUCAAACUGGUUCUGUUAUUCAAGUGAAAUAAUAUACUGCAUUAACAAACUCAUGCAAAUACUAAAGCCAUUGAUAGGAUAUUACUUCUUUACUAAUCUGAAACAGGAACUAUGGAAGAUAAAAUAGAUGGAACAAUCAAAUGCAGCAUGGAAAAAAUCAGAAAUCUUCUCAAGUUGGUAUGGGAUCCGCCCCCUAUGCCACCAUGGUCAAGAAAGCAGCAGCCACCCCUUUACCGCUGUGAUAUGAAGAUUUAUUUGACAAUCAUUAGUUUUAACAAAUCGCUAUUUUAUUUGGCAAGUUAAAAAAAUCUCUCUCCAACAAUUUAGUAUUCUAAUUUGGUAAAAUCACCAUAACCGUGGUUUUUUUCUGGGGCUAUUUGCAAAGUGAAUACAAAACUUUCUCGUAAUUAAUCAAACCCAAAUUAGAAAAUUCUUCUCUCUAGCAGUUUUACAAAGUGAACACAGC